rnacentral:lncRNA from 1 species
GAAGUCAGGAAGCCAAAAAGCCUGUUUCUGGAAUUAAUUACUGUACUGGUUGUAAAGAUUAAUAAAAAUAAAAUGAUUUGGAAAACAAUAUGGACUGAGUAUGACACAUGUGUGGGGAAAUGGAGAAGGUAAUGAGAAAAUCAACCUAAAUUUGUUGUAGGACUCCAAGAUAAAAAUCUAGCCCAUCUACUAUUUUUCUCUUUUAUUCCUUUCUUCUAGGCCACACUUUCUCUUUUUCCAGUAUGCUCCUGAGUUCAUCUUUCUUUUAAAGCAGUGCUGACCAAGUUGAGGUAUUACACAUAAUCAAUUGGCAUGUGGUUUGCACAUUUUUUUUUUGCACUGGAAGAAUGUGGACAUGAAUUCCUGACUAUCUCAGUGUGUAAAAUCCUCAACAUAUAAACCUACGUAAAGUGCAAUCAUCAAAUCACAGGUGUACUGCAUUGCUGCAGGAGCUGUAUAUAUGGACGUGAAGCACAUAUUAGUGCCAGGGGCAGUCAAGUACAAAGAGCACUAUAACACAGAGAGUACUCAGUGCUAUAAUAGAACAAAGAGCAAAGUCAUCCAGGAACAACACAUGAUAAGAAACUGAGGCAAAGCAAGUUUUAAUAAUUUUCCAGAGAUAUGAUAUAUGAAUAUAACCACAGCUUCAAACCUUGGCCAUUGGAUGGCUCUUCACCACUGUGACCAUCUCUACCAUGGACAGAACAGUCCUGGACUUUAAUAUUACACAGAGGAAAGUGGACAAUGAUAGAGACUUUUCUAUUCAAGUUUAGAGAUCUGGAACACAAUAAGGAACAGGCUAAACAAACACCAGGGAAACAGUGUUCAAAGUGGAAAGAAGACCUGAUGCCAGGACCCUGAGAUGAAAUAGAUGUGGCACAUUUGAGGAAUCAGAAGAAGCCCACGAUGGCUGAAACACAAAGGCUAGAGGGAGAAAGAGUGAAUUUUGGUUGGAAGUAGGCACAGGAUUAUGAAGGACAUUAACAGUGUAAGGUGAUUAGUUUUUAUGUGUAAUGGGGACCUUUUGAGGAUUUAAAAAAAGUAAACACAUUUUGUUUAAAAGAUUAUUUUGAAGGGAAAAUCUAUUUAAGGGUGGGCAAGAGGGAAAGGAAAGAGAUAAUUUUCUCUCUCACAUAAGAAAUGAUUUUUAUUUGGGUUAGGGUGCAUUUGGAGAUUACCGAAAAGAAGAAGAAAAAAUAAGAAUAUGUUUUUGUUGACUUUGCUGAUGAAUAUUAGAGAGGAAGCAGGUGAGGAAAAAAGAGAAUCAAGUAAAAACCAGAACUUGUCAUUAUUUAAGUAAACCUAAGUAUUCCAUCAAAAGAUUUAUCCACGGGAUACAGGUGUGCUGUUUC